CGCACAAGCAGCGGAGCAUGCGGCUUAAUUCGACGCAACGCGAAGAACCUGACCAAGGCUUGACAUAUACAGGAAUACGGCAGAGAUGUCGUAGCCGCAAGGUCUGUAUACAGGUGGUGCAUGGUUGUCGUCAGCUCGUGUCGUGAGAUGUUGGGUUAAGUCCCGCAACGAGCGCAACCCUCGUUCUGUGUUGCCAGCAUUUAGUUGGGGACUCACAGGAGACUGCCGGGGUUAACUCGGAGGAAGGUGGGGAUGACGUCAAAUCAUCAUGCCCCUUAUGUCUUGGGCUGCACGCAUGCUACAAUGGCUGGUACAAACGGCUGCAAUACCGCAAGGUGGAGCGAAUCCGAGAAAGCCAGUCUCAGUUCGGAUUGGGGUCUGCAACUCGACCCCAUGAAGUCGGAGUUGCUAGUAAUCGUAGAUCAGCAACGCUACGGUGAAUACGUUCCCGGGGCUUGUACACACCGCCCGUCACGUCACGAAAGUCGGUAACACCCAAA
rnacentral:rRNA from 1 species